AAUUGUGUGGUCUCCCUUUCUUCAUUACCAAUUUAUGCUUAACAUUAAAGUGAGAUUUACACCGUAUGAUUAUCCAGGGUGUUGAAAGUGUGGUCAUUAACAAGUCGCAUUACAAUCAGGACAUAAAACCGUAUGACUAACACGUACAGGCAUUAAAAACAGGCAAGGUUCUUAUCAAUGAAUAAAUGCAUGCGUGAAUACGCGCACUGAUAGCCUGAACGGUAACCUUAUUCCCUUUUCCCGUGGAUUAUUUCAAAACAUGUUCAGAAAAAGACGGAGCGUCGCAAGCACGCACAAAGAAAGCGGUCGGAAGGCUGAAGUUUUGCAAAAGCUUGGUUUAAAUAAAGAAGGCGAAUUGGGGAUCGGCGUUGUCAAAACUGACCGCGGAUAAACGCGUGGGGCCAACGGCAGUUUCAUCGAUUCUCAUCUGAAAUCUCACUUUUACUUGUCAUCCCGCAGCACCGCAAGCGGCCGCGUGGACCAGAGAGCGUCGCAAGGAUGUCCGACUGGCACGUCCUGGACCCUUUGUCCACUGAGCCGAAUCGUACCCAGAAAAGGAUAUAUUUGAGCAGAGGAGAAGAAGAAGAGAAGAAAUAAAAAAGCAGCUUUUGGAGAGAUUCGCUCUUUUCCUCAGCUUGGCAAUCUUCAAGUUAAACGGAGCGAAAUCUCUAAAAGCAGAGAUGUGCAGCUUCAUCGGCAGCUUGGCUGGGACUUGACUUUACUUCAGGGGAUGCCAGCGAUAAACUGCCCUGCUGCCGUGGCGACAUGGGUGAAAGUGGCCUAUGUGGCUGAUUCAUCAGUUCCCACUCUAGAGGGAAGGUUGGUCAGCCAAGACCCGACGAGACGAGUGCCUAACUGAGUCUGGGGAUGAACGGAAACAGAUGACACCUGCUGUGACCACUACUGCCCCGCCGUCACACACACGACACGCACAUACAUAAGCACACACACGUGCGUGCACACACCAAAGCAGGGGGUGAAGAGUGAGUAACACUCAGAGCCUAGGCAGUGAUAGGGAGAGCAGUAAUAGGAAGCCAUGUUAUGGCAACAGGCCUGUAAAUGUAUAAACAGUCCACGGGAUAUGAGUGACACUUCACAAACAUCUGGUUCGGUGAUAAAUCUGACAUUUUACUUUGUGCCGGGAUAUCAACGUCCAGGAGUGAGAUCCAGCGAGAGGCAGAAAAUAAACAAGCCAGCCUGGAGAGUGGGAGAGAGGAGACGCCAUUAAUGGGAAACACUCCCCGUUGUGUGGCUGCGUGUAACUGUAGCCAUUUAUUUAACAUUUCUGGUGUUUCCACCAUGCUGAGAUUAGACACAAUCUCAGCAGAUUACGUCUGGGUGUAUAUAUGUGACACGGCGUGGUUUAUAUGCAGGUCAUGUGAUGUGUGACCUAUAAAGUUCAUUUAACACCAUACUUGGUUAUUUGUACCUGUUACCCAAAGAGCGAAGGUACGGAAGUGAAUUAGCGCGACGUGGCAGCACUUUUGAAGGAUCUGAAAUGGGCAUUAAUGGAAUCCAACCCCCCCCCCCCUCCCCCCAAACACACACAUGCACACACACACUCGCUGUUCCCCUGCCCAUCCCUGCUCCUGGGCGAUCGGGUUUCCACGUUCGGCCCAUCAGCUGAACAUUCGGCUCUUGAUCAAUGGCAGGAAACCAGAGGAUCCAAUGUUAGUACAUCAGAGGAUGAUAUUCCCCUACCCCCAAGAACACAAUCACACACACAGACACACACACACAGAACACUUCUGCAAGUCUUACGUCAGACAGUAUAUUUGUUUUAUUAAGGCUCUGAUUUAUCACAUCAAAAUACAGUGAUAUAAAUGUAACUGUGAAACCUGUAAUGGGUGGGCACCUUGGGUUUCUCCCUGCGUUACGCCCAUUGCUUCAGGGACAGGGUCUGGAAAACCACAAGCCUGCAUAAGACAAGCGGCUAUGGAAAACAGAUGAGGAGAUACAGUAAAUAACAAUCAGCAAAUAAGUGUUGCCGUUGUUCUUCAUGAAGUGACUCGGCCUGGAAACAGUGGGUUUUUGCCAAAUUGCGAGUCCGUUGUAGAAUUUUUGAAAACGAACACUUACGUAUAGUGAAUAUCAUCGUUGUGCUUCUCUAUCCUGGGUUUUAUUGCUGGCAGAAUAUUUAUGAGUAUUAAUUAAGAUCAUGUGUAUCUGAUGUGUGAAAAGCUUGACAUUUUUAUUGAAUCUGGAAUUAUUUUUUUUCAGCUGUAGAAGAGAGGUCAGCCUCAAACAUAGCGGGGGACAUGGUGAAUAGGGUCAUUUUGUGACCUUGUUUGUUUUAAAUUCCUUCCACUUCACCGUGCCUGGAGUCAAACUCAAGGCAGAGAUGUUGGGAUCGGUUUAAUGUGCAUUAUUAUUACUUACGCAUUCUCUCUCUCUGUCUGUCAACAGCUGGAUAUUAGCGGCAAAUGCAUUGUUCUACAAUCUAUUUUAAAUCUGUCCAAAAUAAAUGGACAAAUCAUCAAAGUUUUACAAGUCAUCAGAACAUGCUGUGUCCCUUUGCUGUGGCUGUAAUGUAUGGAAACAUCGGCACACCAGUCCCGCCCCCACCCGGAUCGGGCCCCUUCCCCACCCAUGUCAGCCCAGGGCCCCCAGAGAAGUCAGCCCGCGCCCGAGUCUCGCCUUUUCCUGUGGAAACAAAAACCAAGAGGUGACACUGUUACUCCGCUCCACAGCGUUAUUUCACAAAAACCGGUGAGCAGCUUGAAUCUCACAGCGUCCCUUGGAUAGACCCGCAUGGGUCACCCGGAGAGCAAAGUACUUCUCAGUCUGUAUAAAGCUAAAAGCACAAGGCCUCUGCUAGACGCCCUCAUCAUCCCUCAGCUACUCGCCCUUCUGACUGACAUUCUCCCCUAGAGCUGAAUGGUUCCCUUUGGCAACGCCAGGUCUGACCAUCAGACAUCAGCAAUCUUCUUCAGGAUGAUGCUCCUUCAGCAAGCAGCCAACGACCCUGCUGAUGUCCCAGCAAACUGGCUGCCCCAUAAAGAAGCAAACUGCUGCUGUGUCUUAGUGGCAGAGAUGAAUCUUGCAUGGCGCGUCAAGGGACAACCGUUUUGAGGCGGGGAGACCUUCUGGCCAUCUCCAGAGGCGGCAUUCCUGGAAUGUGCUAGUAUCUCUGGGAGUUAUCCAGAUAAUGCAGAUGUUAUGGGACAAUUCUGGGACAGAAUGUAAUAUGUGUGCCACUCUGGAAUCCAGGCGGUCUUUGUCUAGUCGCAGGUUCCUGGGGAAAGCUUUUGCUAGGGUGAGGGAUUGGUUAGAGUGCUGCUGGUUAAGUACCUGCCUCUGUAGCUACAACCUGCAACAGGUUUCUUUCGCAGAACUCGUUAAAUAUUAACUAGAGUGAUGGCAUUGUGACAAAAGCAUCCUGAUAUUGUAACCUAACCUAGAGCGGAAAAGCCUACAAAGGCACUAAUUUGUCUUUUUAUGUUCAUUAAAAACAAAUAGUAGAUUAUUGUG